rnacentral:rRNA from 1 species
AGAGUUUGAUCCUGGCUCAGGAUGAACGCUAGCGGCAGGCUUAACACAUGCAAGUCGAGGGGUAUAGUUCUUCGGAACUAGAGACCGGCGCACGGGUGCGUAACGCGUAUGCAAUCUACCUUUCACAGAGGGAUAGCCCAGAGAAAUUUGGAUUAAUACCUUAUAGUAUUACGACUUCGCAUGGAGAUGUAAUUAAAGAUUUAUCGGUGAAAGAUGAGCAUGCGUCCCAUUAGUUUGUUGGUAAGGUAACGGCUUACCAAGACUACGAUGGGUAGGGGUCCUGAGAGGGAGAUCCCCCACACUGGUACUGAGACACGGACCAGACUCCUACGGGAGGCAGCAGUGAGGAAUAUUGGACAAUGGGCGCAAGCCUGAUCCAGCCAUGCCGCGUGCAGGAUGACGGUCCUAUGGAUUGUAAACUGCUUUUAUACAGGAAGAAACACCUCUACGUGUAGAGACUUGACGGUACUGUAAGAAUAAGGAUCGGCUAACUCCGUGCCAGCAGCCGCGGUAAUACGGAGGAUCCAAGCGUUAUCCGGAAUCAUUGGGUUUAAAGGGUCCGUAGGCGGCUCAGUAAGUCAGUGGUGAAAUCUCCCGGCUCAACCGGGAAAUGGCCAUUGAUACUGUUGGGCUUGAAUUAUUAGGAAGUAACUAGAAUAUGUAGUGUAGCGGUGAAAUGCUUAGAGAUUACAUGGAAUACCAAUUGCGAAGGCAGGUUACUACUAAUGGAUUGACGCUGAUGGACGAAAGCGUGGGUAGCGAACAGGAUUAGAUACCCUGGUAGUCCACGCCGUAAACGAUGGAUACUAGCUGUUGGGAGCAAUCUCAGUGGCUAAGCGAAAGUGAUAAGUAUCCCACCUGGGGAGUACGUUCGCAGAAUGAAACUCAAAGGAAUUGACGG